UUGUCAGUGUGCCCUGGCUCUCCUGCUUCUCAGAACCAAACAGGCCCGGGAAGCUCCUGCCACCAGCUAAUAUAUCCUUGUUUCUUCUGUUGUAAAUGAAGAUUGAGGAUUUGCACUUCAGAGUGUGCCCUUCUCUCUGAGCGGGAUAUUUGCUGCCGCCGGGUGUGUGUGCGUGUGCGUGUGUGUGUAAGAUAUUUGCUGCCGCCUGGUGUGUGUGUAUGUGUGUUUUGAGGCAAAGCCUCACUCUAGGCUGGGGUGCAGUGGUGUGAUCUUGGCUCACUUGCAACCUCUGCCUCCUGGGUUCAAGCGAUUCUCCUGCCUCAGCCUCCUGAGUAACUGGGAUUACAAGUGCGUGCUGCCAUGCCUAGCUAAUUUUUGUAUUUUUACUAGAGAUGGGGUUUCACCAUGUUGACCAGGCUGGUCUUGAACUCCUGGCCUCUAGUGAUCCACCCACCUUGGCCUCCCAAAGUGCUGGGAUUACAGGCAUGAGCCACCGCACCCGGCCUAUACUCCAUAUUUAAAUCUUUCCAGUUGUCCCCCAAAUACCUGCUUUACUUUCCUUUUCUUUUUUUUUUUUUUUUAAUCCAGACAGUGUGUCGCUCUGUUGCCCAGGCUGGAGUGCAGUGGUACAAUCAUAGCUCGCUGCAGCCUUGAACUCCGGUGUUUAAGUAGUCUUCCUGCCUCAGCCUCUCAAAUCACUGGGACCAUAGGCGUGAGCCACUGCUUUCUUCAAAAUUUGACCCAGAAUCCAAUCAAGGGUGACAGUGAUCAUCAGACCUACAAAAUGAAGGAAUCUUAAGAAAGAUGGCUUAACCCAGUCAGAAGGGACAAGCAUAAUUUUCUUCCAUGGCUAUUUAAAGCCAACUGGGAGCCGGGAUGGGAAACUACUAAAGUUUGAUGCACCAGACUUUGGCCUGAUGCGCUCUCAGCAAAAUGUACAGAGGAGAUGGCCACUUGGUCUUUGGGAGCCCCUGGCUCUCUCUUUUUAAUGACACUAGCUGCUCUUAGCGCCCACUACAGGAAAUGAAGCAAUGGAAGAAGCGCACCUCAUGUGAAAGCAUUUGGAUUUUGCUAGGCUAUUUUCUGAGUAGUAUUUGUCCCGUGGAAAAAUACAGAAGAGGAAAUGA
rnacentral:lncRNA from 1 species